GAGUUUGAUCCUUGCUCAGGAUGAACGCUGGCGGCAUGCAUAACACAUGCAAGUUGAACGAUUUUUGUAAAAAAAUAGUAACGGACGGGUGAGUAAUGUGUAAGAACCAACACUUAGGACAGGAAUAACACUUGGAAACGGGUGCUAAUACCUGAUAAUGCUUUUAAGUUAAAGAUUUUUCGCCUAGGUAUGGGCUUGCAUUCGAUUAGCUUGUUGGUUAGGUAAUGGCUGACCAAGGCUUUGAUCGAUAGCUGGUUUGCGAAGAUGAUCAGCCACACGGGAAUUGAGAACGGGACCGACUCCUACGGGAGGCAGCAGUGAGGAAUUUUCCGCAAUGAGUGAAAGCUUGACGGAGCAAUGCCGCGUGGAGGAAGAAGGCUUUAGAGUUGUAAUCUCCUUUUCUCAUUGAAGAAUUUUUGACGUUAUUUGAGGAAUAAGCAUCGGCUAAUGUCGUGCCAGCAGCCGCGGUAAUACGAUAGAUGCAAGCGUUAUCCGGAAUUAUUGGGCGUAAAGAGUCUGUAGGUUGUUUAAUGUGUUUAACGUUAAAUAUUAGAGCUUAACUCUGAAUCUGCGUUAAAAACUAUUAAGCUUGAGUAUGAUAGAGGUAAAGGGAAUUUCUAGUGUAGCGGUGAAAUGCGUAGAUAUUAGAAGGAACACCAAUGGCGAAAGCACUUUACUAGGUUAAUACUGACACUGAGAGACGAAAGCUAGGGUAUCAAGGCGGAUUAGAUACCCGUGUAGUCCUAGCUGUAAACAAUGGAUACUAAGCGGUGCUUUUGUACUGUCGUAGCUAACGCGUUAAGUAUCCCGCCUGGGGAGUACGCUUGCAAAAGUGAAACUCAAAGGAAUUGACGGGGACCCGCACAAGCGGUGGAGCAUGCGGUUUAAUUCGUUGGUACACGAAGAACCUUACCAGGGUUUGACAUGUUAGGAAAUUUUAUGAAAGUAAAAUGUGCCUUUAUGGAACCUAAACACAGGUGGUGCAUGGCUGUCGUCAGCUCGUGUUGUGAAAUGUUUGGUUAAGUCCGUCAACGAGCGCAACCCUCGUUUUUAGUUAAUUAUCUAAAGAUACUGCCGAUUAUAAGUCGGAGGAAGGUGAGGAUGAGGUCAAGUCAUCAUGCCCCUUAUAUCCUGGGCUACACGCGUGCUACAAUGGUUGAGACAACAAGUUGCAAAUUUGUGAAAGUAAGCUAAUCUUUAAACUCAGCCUUAGUUCAGAUUGUAGGCUGCAACUCGCCUACAUGAAGGCGGAAUCGCUAGUAAUCGUUGGUCAGCUAUACAGCGGUGAAUACGUUCUCGGGUCUUGUCCACACCGCCCGUCACACUAUGAGAGCUGGCCAUGCUUGAUGCUGUUUACUUAACUUUUAUAAAGAGGGUGAUGUCUAAAGCCGGGUUGGUAAUUAAAGUGAAGUCGUAACAAGGUAGCCGUACUGGAAGG
rnacentral:rRNA from 1 species